rnacentral:tRNA from 1 species
GGUCUUAUAUUCAUAUUUGUGAUAAUAGAAUGCAAUUCUAUAGGGGUGGGGUAAAUACUACUAAGGCUU